AUGCUUAUGUUCUCACCCACCCAGGAAUCCCUUCCAUAAUGCUUUUAGAUAACCAAACAAGCUGUAAUUGUUCAUCAGCCAAGCAAAAGUCAUACCCAAAUCUUGCGUUGUGACUUUUUAUUAUUUGUGGAACCUAAUGUUGUGUAAUAGUUUGAUUGAGUUUGUUUUGAAAACUUUAAAUAGUAAACAAGUGAGAUUGAUUGUUUGAUUGAGUUGUUAACUAUUUUGUUGGUAUUAUGGCUUUCAUGAUUGAUUGUUUCAUGAGUGGAUUGAAUGAAUGGAUUAGUAGUUUAAAUAAAUAUUUAAAAAAAUUAAACAUUUUUAGCCUCAA